GUGACUGCGUACCUUUUGUAUAAUGGGUCAGCGACUUAUAUUCUGUAGCAAGGUUAACCGUAUAGGGGAGCCGGAGGGAAACCGAGUCUUAACCGGGCGUUAAGUUGCAGGGUAUAGACCCGAAACCCGGUGAUCUAGCCAUGGGCAGGUUGAAGGUUGGGUAACACUAACUGGAGGACCGAACCGACUAAUGUUGAAAAAUUAGCGGAUGACCUGUGGCUGGGGGUGAAAGGCCAAUCAAACCGGGAGAUAGCUGGUUCUCCCCGAAAGCUAUUUAGGUAGCGCCUCGUGAAUUCAUCUCCGGGGGUAGAGCACUGUUUCGGCUAGGGGGCCAUCCCGGCUUACCAACCCGAUGCAAACUGCGAAUACCGGAGAAUGUUAUCACGGGAGACACACGGCGGGUGCUAACGUCCGUCGUGAAGAGGGAAACAACCCAGACCGCCAGCUAAGGUCCCAAAGUCAUGGUUAAGUGGGAAACGAUGUGGGAAGGCCCAGACAGCCAGGAUGUUGGCUUAGAAGCAGCCAUCAUUUAAAGAAAGCGUAAUAGCUCACUGGUCGAGUCGGCCUGCGCGGAAGAUGUAACGGGGCUAAACCAUGCACCGAAGCUGCGGCAGCGAACGUAUCACCCAAGACAACUUUACGGAGUUGACGAUUGACGGAGCGAAGCGACGUCAAAGCGUUCAUUAAAGUCGAGUUGGCUUAGGGAUACGUUCGUUGGGUAGGGGAGCGUUCUGUAAGCCUGUGAAGGUGUGUCGUGAGGCAUGCUGGAGGUAUCAGAAGUGCGAAUGCUGACAUAAGUAACGAUAAAGCGGGUGAAAAGCCCGCUCGCCGGAAGACCAAGGGUUCCUGUCCAACGUUAAUCGGGGCAGGGUGAGUCGACCCCUAAGGCGAGGCCGAAAGGCGUAGUCGAUGGGAAACGGGUUAAUAUUCCCGUACUUGGUGUUACUGCGAAGGGGGGACGGAGAAGGCUAUGUUGGCCGGGCGACGGUUGUCCCGGUUUAAGCGUGUAGGUGUGUGUUCCAGGUAAAUCCGGUUCACUUUAACACUGAGGCGUGACGACGAGGCACUACGGUGCUGAAGCAACAAAUGCCCUGCUUCCAGGAAAAGCCUCUAAGCAUCAGGUAACACGAAAUCGUACCCCAAACCGACACAGGUGGUCAGGUAGAGAAUACCAAGGCGCUUGAGAGAACUCGGGUGAAGGAACUAGGCAAAAUGGUGCCGUAACUUCGGGAGAAGGCACGCUGACACGUAGGUGAAGUGAUUUACUCAUGGAGCUGAAGUCAGUCGAAGAUACCAGCUGGCUGCAACUGUUUAUUAAAAACACAGCACUGUGCAAACACGAAAGUGGACGUAUACGGUGUGACGCCUGCCCGGUGCCGGAA
rnacentral:rRNA from 1 species